rnacentral:rRNA from 1 species
UACAGAGGGUGCGAGCGUUAAUCGGAAUUACUGGGCGUAAAGCGCGCGUAGGCGGCUUUGCAAGUCGGGUGUGAAAUCCCCAGGCUUAACCUGGGAACUGCAUUCGAGACUGCAUUGCUAGAGUAUGGGAGAGGGAAGUGGAAUUUCCGGUGUAGCGGUGAAAUGCGUAGAUAUCGGAAGGAACAUCAGUGGCGAAAGCGACUUCCUGGACCAAUACUGACGCUGAUGCGCGAAAGCGUGGGGAGCAAACAGG